rnacentral:rRNA from 1 species
UACGUAGGGUGCAAGCGUUGUCCGGAAUUAUUGGGCGUAAAGAGCUCGUAGGCGGUUUGUUGCGUCGGCUGUGAAAUCCCCGAGGCUCAACCUCGGGUCUGCAGUCGAUACGAGCAAACUAGAGUGUUGCAGGGGGAGACUGGAAUUCCUGGUGUAGCGGUGAAAUGCGCAGAUAUCAGGAGGAACACCGGUGGCGAAGGCGGGUCUCUGGGCAACAACUGACGCUGAGGAGCGAAAGCGUGGGGAGCGAACAGG